rnacentral:pre_miRNA from 1 species
UUUAAGAAUGGUUGUGGCUUUCCGUGUCCAAUGUUUGACCAUUUGUUUUAUUUGAAUUUUUUUUAAUUAGUAUUUUUAUUGUUACGAGAUGAUAUGACAUGAAUAGUAUUUUAUUCAUUUUUUAUUUUUAUCAUAAAUUUUUUAAAUAAAACGGACGAUCAAACAUGGAAAAUGAGAUGG